CCUCCCACACCCAAGGUUUGC
rnacentral:miRNA from 1 species